rnacentral:rRNA from 1 species
GACGAACGCUGGCGGCGUGCCUAAUACAUGCAAGUCGAGCGAACUGAUGAGGAGCUUGCUUCUUCUGAUUUAGCGGCGGACGGGUGAGUAACACGUGGGCAACCUACCUAGUAGAUUGGGAUAACUCCGGGAAACCGGGGCUAAUACCGAAUAAUCCAUUUUGUCGCAUGGCAAAAUGCUGAAAGGCGGUUUCGGCUGUCACUACUAAAUGGGCCCGCGGUGCAUUAGCUAGUUGGUGGGGUAAUGGCCUACCAAGGCAACGAUGCAUAGCCGACCUGAGAGGGUGAUCGGCCACAUUGGGACUGAGACACGGCCCAAACUCCUACGGGAGGCAGCAGUAGGGAAUCUUCCACAAUGGACGAAAGUCUGAUGGAGCAACGCCCGCGUGAGUGAUGAAGGUUUUCGGAUCGUAAAACUCUGUUGUAAGGGAAGAACAAGUACGUUAGUAACUGAAUGUACCUUGACGGUACCUUAUUAGAAAGCCA